rnacentral:rRNA from 1 species
UUUAACGAGAGUUUGAUCCUGGCUCAGGAUGAACGCUGGCGGCGUGCUUAACACAUGCAAGUCGAGCGAAGCACAUUUACCUUUGAUUUCUUCGGAUUGAAGAGUGUUGUGACUGAGCGGCGGGCGGGUGAGUAACGCGUGGGUAACCUGCCUCAUACAGGGGGAUAACAGUUAGAAAUGACUGCUAAUACCGUAUAAGACCACAGUGCCGCAUGGCACAGUGGUAAAAACUCCGGUGGUAUGAGAUGGACCCGCGUCUGAUUAGCUAGUUGGUAAGGUAACGGCUUACCAAGGCGACGAUCAGUAGCCGACCUGAGAGGGUGACCGGCCACAUUGGGACUGAGACACGGCCCAAACUCCUACGGGAGGCAGCAGUGGGGAAUAUUGCACAAUGGGGGAAACCCUGAUGCAGCGACGCCGCGUGAAGGAUGAAGUAUUUCGGUAUGUAAACUUCUAUCAGCAGGGAAGAAAAUGACGGUACCUGACUAAGAAGCCCCGGCUAACUACGUGCCAGCAGCCGCGGUAAU